GACGAACGCUGGCGGCGUGCUUAACACAUGCAAGUCGAACGGUAAGGCCCUUCGGGGUACACGAGUGGCGAACGGGUGAGUAACACGUGGGUGAUCUGCCCUGCACUUCGGGAUAAGCCUGGGAAACUGGGUCUAAUACCGGAUAGGACCACUGCCUGCAUGGGUGGUGGUGGAAAGCUUUUGCGGUGGGGGAGGGGCCCGCGGCUUAUCAGCUUGUGGGUGGGGUGAUGGCCUAGCAAGGCGACGACGGGUAGCCGGCCUGAGAGGGGGACCGGCCAAACUGGGACGGAGAUACGGCCCAGACUCCUACGGGAGGCAGCAGUGGGGAAUAUUGCACAAUGGGCGCAAGCCUGAUGCAGCGACGCCGCGUGAGGGAUGACGGCCUUCGGGUUGUAAACCUCUUUCAGCAUCGACGAAGCGCAAGUGACGGUAGGUGCAGAAGAAGGACCGGCCAACUACGUGCCAGCAGCCGCCGUAA
rnacentral:rRNA from 1 species